GACAGGCAUUUGCAGAUGAGCUUGGCAUCCCUUUCCUUGAGACAAGUGCUAAAGAUUCAAUCAAUGUGGAGCAGGCUUUCUUAACUAUGGCAGCAGAGAUUAAGAAGAAGAUGGGAAGCCAACCAACUGCUAGUAAUUCGUCAGAAACUGUUCAAAUGAAGGGACAACCAAUUUCUCAGAAAAACAACUGCUGUGGUUAGGUAGAAGUCUUAGAUUUUCUACUCAAAUGUUAACUGUUAUAUGAAAAUACAGACACUGUUCUCGACUUUGUUAUGUUAUGUUACAAUAACUGUUGCAAUGUCUAUAUUUAAAUCCUUGGAUAAUGAAGGAAUCCAACUUAAAAUUUCUGAAAUCUGUGUGACAUAGAUCAUAGUAGUUGUAAAUUCUUGGAUGAUGGAGAAAAUGUCAGAUUAAUGUUAUUUUUAUAUUUAGUUU